UAGUUAGUGUUUUUGUGUAUAUGUGUGUGUGUGUGUGUGUGUCAUGGAGGAGUGAACUGUGCCUGUCCUUGUGGGUGUAUGACGAACCAGGCUGUUGCCACGGUGACGGUGGUGGUGGGCAUGACACAGAUGCGGGAGGUGGAGUUUGUGCCCGAUAGAGACAUGCAGCUGGACAAAUUGUGUUGGUCAUUGGUCAGACUGGAGUUUACAUGUGUACCUCCUUCACCAUCAUUGGUGGACACUUCACCAUGAGUGAUGCUUGAGCUGUCACGGUGCUGCUGCUGCUGUCUGCUAUCAUCCCCCUGACACAGACCACCCUGCAGACCACCUUCAUCCUGGGUGCCACACGUCACUGCUGCUACAACUCAGAGCAACUGGAGCGCAAGCCAGGAAGGGAGAUGGUUACCUUCUUGUUGAUGUGCAAUCUUGCUACGUGGGCGACCAACAUUUAAAAAUAGCAAUGUGGUGCUUCCUUAAUGCUAAUAGUCUUGGCCCAAAAAACUUGUGAUGUCAAACACUAACUUCUCUUAAAUCUUACUAAAAUGUAUGCGCAUCACUUUCUGAUUUCAUCCCAGUGGCACACAAACCAAAAUACCUGAGUAUGGAGAUGGCUGGACUACCUCCUUUGGCCACCCCUGUUAUAUCUUAAUGGUCACCUAACAAUUGCACCUUAGUAGAAAAACACAAACAGGAAGUUUAUGCAAGUUUUUAUCCUUAUAUAAAAUAUAUUGCAUCAAACCUCCAUACAUUACUGUCUCUAUCCAGUAUGAGACCGGUGUUCAAGAAGCACAAGCAUGUGCUGAAUAACAAGAAGCCAGCGUGGCUCAAGAGGAAGAGUGAGUAGGACGAGAAAAAACAGAACAAAUAAAUCCCCUACACGUGUUGUCUCCAUUGACACAAGCCAUGAAAAGCUUGUCCAUCUCUGAGUGCUAAGGAGCAGUGUGUUCAACUGAUGAUGUGGAAACUUGAGACAGCCAAUCAUUUAAUGGACUUUAGUAGGUUUUGUCACCAGUCUUCUGUGUGUCACUCACUACAUUUUGAAAUUUUUACUUGUUCUAUUUAAU